rnacentral:lncRNA from 1 species
GUUGGCUUUGAGGGGUCUACUUCUUCCAGGGUCCAGAGGCUGAUGUGUGGAUGUGAGCACUAGGGUUUAUCUUGGCAGGUUGCAGAAGCUUCCUUUUGCAUAAGUUGGCAAAGCGUUUGCUGAAUGUUUCAUGGCCACUAAUCCACAGUGAUGGCCUCAUCCCAGCAUCCAGGCUUUUAUCCUUUUUUAGGACCAUCAAACCACAUGAUAAACCCCGUGUGCAUUUCCUCGAGCCUGAAUCCCUAUUUUGGACUAGUCGUCCCAAUGUGGAGUCCACUGACCAAUCCUCUACUUCGGAUUCAUCAGGGAUGCUUCUUAAGAAGCAGCCACAUUGCAAGAACACUCCUUUGAAGGACUCCUUUGAAGCCUCUGGGUGGCUAGAACCUGAUCACCACUGCGAACGAAAACAUGCUGUUCCUUUCAGGGAAGAGUUACAAAGGGUAGACUUAUCUGGGGCAAUGACCAAAUGUCUGAUGGUUUGUUGUCCAAUUUGGAAGCCUUCGCAUGUCUGUCAGGACUUAGAGUCUUGGGGCUUUCUGGGUCAAAUCAAAGGUGAUUUUUUUCCCCUCAGUUCCUACAGUCUAGGUCCUCAUGGGCUCUUACUGGGGCUGUUAUCAUAGUCUCUGAAUCCAACCUCCCCCACCCCUCCUCCACCCUUCUUUCCAAUAUCUAUUGCUGCAUGAUGAAUUACCCCAAAACUAGCCUGUUCAGCAACUCUUUCUGGCAAUGACCUCCACCUUCCCUGGACUUCACAUUCCCACCUGCACCUGUCCUCUCUCUCUGAGCCUGAGAUCUGGUGCCAAACCAGAGUAAAGGCAUCUAAGGAAAAAUAUUUCUCCAACUAUGUGCCCCCCAUUUCAACCCUGGAGCCUCUCCCUCUCCUUCCUCACAAUGAGCUGAUUUUUACAAUUUUACCUUUCAUACUUGGAGCCAAAUGUGGCCCAAGAACACCUGGGGGCAUAUUCUCAUUUCCCCUUUCAAGGCUAACAUUGGUUUAAGAGAUUGAGUGAGUACUGGAAAGCUGGUAACCUACACUUUGUGGGAUGUUGGCAAAUCAGGUAUGGACCAAGCCUGCUGUGUUUGGAAAAUGGGGUGCCAGCUGAGCUUCUUCCCCUCCUCUUGGGGCAUAGGGUACUUACUACCAAUUCUGGGUUCACCCUGCACUCUGAGGUGUCAGUUUAGCAUUUAUUCCUCACCUUCUUGAGCAGUCGCUUGGAUGGAGCACUACUUUUCAUUGAAAUGGCAGGUUAUGCUUGGGAGGGGUUUGAAUGGAGAUGCUGGGGAGUUAAGGGAGGACAUUCUUUGAGUAGUAAGAGCACAGACUUUGGUGUCGGAUAAUCUCAAGUUUAAAUCUCUGCUUUGUUCCUAUUGGCUGUUUGACUGUCUCUGUGAUUCUCAGUUUUCCCAUCUGUAAAAUGAGCAUAAUAAUGGCACCUACUUCUCUUGGUAGCUAUCAGGAUUAGCUCAUACACAGGAAGUUCUAACAAGAAAACAACACAUCACAUAUGCCAACUAUUGCCAUCAUCACUGAAGAAUAAAACAUGUUUUUUGCUUGUUGGGAUUUCCUCA